rnacentral:rRNA from 1 species
GACGAACGCUGGCGGCGUGCUUAACACAUGCAAGUCGAACGGAAAGGCCCUGCUUUCGUGGGGUGCUCGAGUGGCGAACGGGUGAGUAACACGUGAGUAACCUGCCCUUGACUUUGGGAUAACUUCAGGAAACUGGGGCUAAUACCGGAUAGGAGCUCCUGCUGCAUGGUGGGGGUUGGAAAGUUUCGGCGGUUGGGGAUGGACUCGCGGCUUAUCAGCUUGUUGGUGGGGUAGUGGCUUACCAAGGCUUUGACGGGUAGCCGGCCUGAGAGGGUGACCGGCCACAUUGGGACUGAGAUACGGCCCAGACUCCUACGGGAGGCAGCAGUGGGGAAUAUUGCACAAUGGGCGGAAGCCUGAUGCAGCAACGCCGCGUGCGGGAUGACGGCCUUCGGGUUGUAAACCGCUUUCGCCUGUGACGAAGCGUGAGUGACGGUAAUGGGUGAAGAAGCACCGGCUAACUACGUG